UAGAGGGGAAGGAAGUGGAGCAGGGGAGAGGAAGGGAGGGGAGGGGAGGGGAAAGGAGGAAGGGAGGAGGGGACGGGCAUGUCCAUAUAACAACAAGAAGGACUGCUACCAAUAUUUUAUUUCCAGCUUUAAGCCCGCUCCAGAUUCAGGGCUGGAACUCUGCUAACACUGUCUGUCAGUUUCCUGUAAGGUUUCUGUCAAAGGGAGCACAAGAGAGCUGGGGAGGAGCCAGGACCUGUUCUUCCUGUAGGCUACCUCCCUGUGGGCUUCCUGUCUGUUGUUGGUUCCUAAGACAGGCAGUCACCUUGGCAGCAUCUCUCCACCUCACUCUCUCCCCCACAGCCACUGACAGCUCCUUCCAGGAGGCCUCCUGAACUCCAUUUUCUGUUGUUCUACUCUGUACACCCACUGCACCAGUCUUCAGGAUCUGCGUCUCACCUUUCCUAACUCAGAGAUCCCGGGGCCAGCCAGCCUUCACUGAGACUGUCACCUCCGUGGGACUCUACAUCUUCAUUUUGAAUUUUACUCAUUAUCAUCUCCUCACGUUGUUCCCAAAGCUCUGAAGUCGAUAGCUCCUCCUACUCUCAUCAUACCUCAAAAUCACUUCUGUAUCCUUGCAGGGUCCAGAAAUACCGGAAGCAAGAAAGGAAAAGCACAAAGCUUCCCUUCCAAGGUGCUCAUCAGGCGGGAGAAAGGCACACCUGAGACAUGUCACCACUUUCAAAGACCACCAGCACUACCAUUAUCUGAGACCUAAGGUCACAGCCAUGCCCAGGCUUUCUGUACCAAGAGCACAGAUCGAGUGCUACCGUCCAGGCCAACAGUGCCCAUCCACAGGAUGGAGCGUCUGCUUGACAACAAGGAGUAAGAUAAAGCCAUUGAAAUGAGGCCUGUGAUCAGGCACCAGUGAGAAACAUGUCUGCUCAUCUCUGAUCUGCCCUGGACCCUAGACCCUCAACCCUACGCCAAGAGCCUGGCAGGUUCUUCAUCUGUCUCCCUUCUCCCCUUAUUUCUGUGAUAGAUUUUCUUCGUAUAAAGCUAAAGGGGGGAGAAGGAAGUGGAAGAAGAAGGAGGAAGAGGAGAGAAAAAAAGAAGGAGGAGAAAGAGG
rnacentral:lncRNA from 1 species